rnacentral:tRNA from 1 species
GCCUGUGUAGCUCAGCGGGAGAGCGCCGCUCUUACAAAGCGGAGGCCGGGGGUUCGACACCCUCCUCAGGCA